GGUCUUCCCUUACUCACACUAAAAAAAAGAAAUGAUGCUGCAAAGAAGAAAAACAAUAGGUAAAAUAAUAUUUCCAAAAGUUAUUACUCCUUUAUUGGCUUCAUCCUUUAUAAGAUAUUCUUUGUUUGUUAUAUUAAAAGAACGACAGGAAACACCCAAGAGCCACUUAAGAAUGAAACUGGAAGAAAAGAGAUGAGAAAGUUACGAUUCCCACACUACACUGAAUCAUAAACUAACCAAACAGGCUAGGGUUUGCACAAUAUGCUAAACUCAAAAGCAAAACCUGCCAUGCCAUGUCAGAAAGACAGUUUAGAACUGAUAUAGGUAUAGUAAAGGAGCCACUUGCAAUCUUAAAGGAAUUUAUGAAAAAAAUAAAUGUAAGUUUCCUAGAGCCAGCUAUGGCAGAGAGACUGCUUUGGUGGACAAGGGACUUAGUGCACCUUUAUGACUCAAGAGCUCUCAUAAUAUUGUGAUCCAGAAAAAUCAAUGUUGGAUUUGCAACUUGAACAAAUUCAUCCUGUAUACUGUAUACUCAUAAAUAGGGCAUCAUGGUGGCUCAGCAGUUAAUGUACUGGGCUUGCUAACUGGAAAGCUGGCAGCCCAGAUUUGAGACCUGAGCACUAUGGGACGGGGUGAGCUUGUGCCCACCUAGCAGUUCAAAAGCAUACAAAUACAAAUAGAUAAAUAGAUACCACUGCAGUGGUAAGAGUAAGAGCACUCCAGGAUGUCAUACUGGCCAUUGACAAUGGAAAUGUCUUUGGACAGUGCUAGCUCAAUGGUCUUGAAACAGAGAUGAGCACUGACCCCUUACAGUUGGUUACAGGGGAUUCCUAUAUUCAUAAAUGGUUCAUCACUUCCCUGCGAGGAAGCAUCAGGUGAGGUGGGCCCAGGAUUAUUCAACCUCUUUAUAAAUAACUUCCAGGAUUGAAUGGAACCGUCUUUCCCCCCCCAAACUUGUGGGUAAUACCAAAUUGGCUAAUUCUUUGCAGGACACAAUCCCAUUUCAAAAUCGUGCCUGAACACACGAUUAAUAGGCCAAUGUUUGCUCAUGUCCAAUGGAAUAUCCUGCUUUUGGGUAGGAGAAGUCAGAUGUGCAAGUAGAGGAUUGGGAAGUUACAGUAUGUCAGGUGGCAGGGCUUAUAAGAAGAUUUAGGAGUACUAAUGAACCACUAGACUAAGAGAAAACUGAUGCAGCAACUCAAAAGGCCAAUGCAAUAUUGGGUUGCACUAACAAAAAUACUAAUCAAAUCACAGAAGGUUAUUAUUCCACUGUGAUUCCAUUAAAUAUCCCAGUAGGUAGAUUAUACUAUGUCCAGUUCUAGGCCGGAUAAGGAUAUGACAGGGUUCAGAGGACAUCUACUAGGCUUAUACUAAACACUGUAAGUUUAAAGAACAUAAAAGGAGCUGGCUUCCUUUAGGUUACAAAAAAAAAAAAGUAUGAACAAACUGCAAAAAUUUAGAAGCUUGUUAUAUGAAAGAGCCAAAAAGGGUAGUGAGAACUACCUUCUUGCCUAUUUUAAAAUCUCCCACCAGUCCUGCCUGUGGGAACUGCUGACUGAACUUGUUCUAAGUUGAAAAUAAGAGCAGACCAGGAUCUAAUUAUUAGAAGACUGAUUGGGAGCAAUGAAGCAGGCUCCCCUCUUAUCAGUAAUAGUUUUCCACCUUCGAAAUUUUCAAAUGGGGGUGGGACUGAAUGCACCAGACAAGAGGUUGGACUCAUCCAUUCCAUGAAGAAACAAAGACCAAGUUUAGCAUAUUCAUUGACCAAACACAGCUAAGUUUUUUCUGUAAGUGCAUUGUAUUACUAUUGUUGUUGUUGUUAGUUGUCGAGACCCCAUGGACAACAUUCCUCCAGGCUUUCCUGUCCUCUACCAUCCUCUGGAGUCCACUUAAGCUCACGCCUACUCCUUCAGUGACUCCAUCCAGUCACCUCGUUCUCUGUCAUCUUCUUUUGCCCUCAAUCUUUCCCAGCAUUAGGCUCUCCUCCAGUGAGCCCUUCCUUCUCAUUAGGUGGCCAAAAUAUUUGAGUGUCAUCUUCAGGAUCUGGCCUUCUAAAGAGCACUCAGGGUUGAUCUCCUCUGGGACUGACCGGUUUGAUUGCCUUGCAGUCCAAAGGACUCACAGGAGUCUUCUCCAGCACUAUAGUUCAAAGGCCUCAGUUCUUUGGCUCUCAGCCUUCCUUAUGGUCCAACCUUCACAGCCAUACAUUACAACUGGGAAAAUUAUAGCCUUGACUAUACACACUUUUGUUGGCAGGGUGAUAUCUCUGCUUUUUAGUAUGCUGUCUAGAUUGCCAUAGCUUUCUUCCCCAGGAGCAAACAUCUUUUAAUUUCUUGGCUGCAGUCCCCAUCUGGGGUGAUCUUGUAGCCCAGGAAAAUAAAAUCUGUUACUACCUCCAUUUCUUCCCCAUCUAUCUUCCAGCAAUUGAGAGGGCCGGAUGCCAUGAUCUUUGUUUUCUUAAUGCUGAGUUUCAAGCCAACUUUCGCACUCUCCUCCUUCACCGGCAUCAAGAGGCUCUUUAGUUCCAUUAGAGUGGUAUCAUCUGCAUAUCUGAGGUUGUUGAGAUUUCUUGGUUGGUAUUACUAUUCUUGGUUGGUAUUACUAUAGAUAUGGUGAUUUCGGUCAGGAGCGGGUGCAGCCUCUCAACCUAGCCGAAAUUAACACUAACCGAGGUUAGCGUGUAGCAGCGAGACUUGCAAAUGUUCGCUUGCGUCAACUCAGCUGUCCUUACGAUGUGCUUCUCUCUCACACCCGCUCCAUGAACUCAUUCUAGCCAGUAACGUCAAACCGAGAGUAACGACAGGUGCGGGCGGUGUACAUAAGGACCGGGAAUUCCCUCUACGUCGAGGCGACUCUCCUGCACCACCCUCGAGCCUUGCCUUAAUUAACCUAAAAGCUUCUCACCCUCCAGGCUGCGAGCGACCGAGCGCGCGCGCAUCAGGUUCCCAGGGAUUUCGCCUCGCUGCGUUUCGGAUCGAGCAAUUACGUUCCCAGGGCGGGCUCGAAUUUACAUGAGCUUGGCUCUUCUUCUAUUACCCGGGGUGGGUGGGGGUGGGGGGGUAGGACGCCUCUGCAAAAUAUCAACAAAAAGGAGGAAGGUCCUGCUUUUGUCUUAGAAACCAAGAGAGGCAAGAAGCAACGAGGUAUUCCAGCAGAUCCCCCCUCCACCCAUACACACACCGGCUUCCAUUCCGGAGAAAGAAGCGCUGGACUGCCCGAAGCCAGGGAAGCGCAGCGCGUGCGCACUCGGAGACCUCCAGCCUCUUCUCCCGCUCCCUCCCUUCUCCACUUCUACUCCCAAGCCGCUGCCAAGCGCCAGUGGUGGAGCGGCAGCCGCCGGGGGAAGCCGUUUGCCCGCCUCUGGAGCCCGAGGCAAAGCAAGCAAGCAAGCAAGCAAGCGAGAGGAAAGGAAAGGGAGUCGAGCGGGUUUUCCACCGGCCGCGGCAGAACAACAGUCGCCGCCCCGUGUCCUCGCCCCCACCCCCCACCCCCGCGCGAAGCUGUCUCCCGUCCGCAGAUUCAGAAGCUGCCCCCUUUUCGUGCCCGGCUGGCAGGCGCAGGUAGGGCGGGAGGAGCAACACGUUGUCGGCUCUCGAGCGGCGCUGCUCCCAACCUGCUCGCAGGUGGCCCUGGAAGCAACUUUGCGGGCUCCCCUUUUGGCGGGGGACGAACGAAGCGCUCCCUCCAGAGCGACGAGUCGCCUCUUCUUUCCCCUCUCGGGCGCUUGCUGGCGAUCCACUCCGCCCCAGCCGCUAAGGACCAACCUCACUCCAGCUCUUGUUCGGUUCUGCACUAGGACCAGCCCUUCCGCGGGCUUCACCUGCCUCCGGGGAAAGUGCCUAAGAGAGCUCCGUUGCGCUUCCGGACCGGCUGGGCGAGGGCGAGGGCGAGGGGGUGAUCGUCCGCCCUAGCCCCCAGGAUCCUACCUCGCCCGCGGGCGAGCGGCUAGGGGAGGACGGCGAAGCGGGGCAGCCCAAGGCGACGGUCGCUGGGAAAAGGCGGAGCGCUCGCUGAGCGAGGCUGGGAGUGUCUCUCCAGCGGGGAUCUUUCUUCGCGAUCCCGAAGCCGCGAUUGAUGCAACUUUCCUUGAUUUCUCCCCCGCAGGUUAACUGGGGGACAGAAGGAAACUCUCCCGCCCGGAAAGGGGAUUUCUUAUUUCGCGGUUUUAUUAUUUUCUUCUUCGGAGGAGGAGGAGGUUAGUUCCAUCUUUUAAUUGCGCCUUCUUGAAACGGCGGGACCAUGUGCUGAGGGCAUGACUCGAACUUGAUACCUCUUCGAGGAAAUCGUCAGGGUUUAUUUCUCGACAAAAGAGACUCCUCGCCUUUCUUCUGCUUGGGAAUAGGUUCCUGAGAUUACUGGAACGAUGCAGGGAAAUCUCCCAAUGCUGCUGGAGGAGAAAGAGAAGAAAUGGCAGCCCUGCAACUCCUUCAACCUCCACGCUGGAGGAAACAAGACUUUCUCACGAAAGAAAGACAAAAGUCAUCAUUGAAAUUGAGCUCCACAAAGUGGAGCAGCAUGAUUUCCCUACAAAGGACAACGGAGGGAAAGAGAAGGUUCUCUUCGAGAGACAGGACCUCCCCCAAGCAGCGCAGUCAGAGCCGGCCUGCAUAAGAAGAGACCAAGAGAUAAGACAAUAUCUCCGGCAAGUGGUCUCUGAGCGAAGGAGAGAAACACCGCAGGCUCUGUUGCAGGAACACACCUUUGUGACCGGAUUAGCUGCUAUGCUGGAAAUGUACGAUCUCAG